UACAGAGGGGGCAAGCGUUGUUCGGAAUUACUGGGCGUAAAGGGCGCGUAGGCGGCCUGCUAAAUCGGAUGUGAAAUCCCCAGGCUUAACCUGGGAACUGCAUCCGAUACUGGAUGGCUUGAAUUCGGGAGAGGGAUGCAGAAUUCCAGGUGUAGCGGUGAAAUGCGUAGAUAUCUGGAGGAAUACCGGUGGCGAAGGCGGCAUCCUGGACCGACAUUGACGCUGAGGAGCGAAAGCUAGGGGAGCAAACGGG
rnacentral:rRNA from 1 species